rnacentral:rRNA from 1 species
GACGAACGCUGGCGGCGUGCUUAACACAUGCAAGUCGAACGAUGAAGCGGUGCUUGCACCGUGGAUUAGUGGCGAACGGGUGAGUAACACGUGAGCAACCUGCCCCAAACUCUGGAAUAAGCGCUGGAAACGGCGUCUAAUACUGGAUAUGUACCACGAUCGCAUGGUCUGUGGUUGGAAAGAUUUUUCGGUUGGGGAUGGGCUCGCGGCCUAUCAGCUUGUUGGUGAGGUAAUGGCUCACCAAGGCGUCGACGGGUAGCCGGCCUGAGAGGGUGACCGGCCACACUGGGACUGAGACACGGCCCAGACUCCUACGGGAGGCAGCAGUGGGGAAUAUUGCACAAUGGGCGCAAGCCUGAUGCAGCAACGCCGCGUGAGGGAUGACGGCCUUCGGGUUGUAAACCUCUUUUAGCAGGGAAGAAGCGAGAGUGACGGUACCUGCAGAAAAAGCCCCGGCUAACUACGUGCCAGCCGCCGCAGUAAAAC